AAUGAACGCUGGCGGCAGGCCUAACACAUGUAAGUCGAACGAGUGGCGGACGGGUGAGUAAUGUCUGGGAAACUGCCUGAUGGAGGGGGAUAACUACUGGAAACGGUAGCUAAUACCGCAUACCAUCGGAUGUGCCCAGAUGGGAUGAGCUAGUAGGGGGGGUAACGGCUCACCUAGGAGACGAUCCCUAGCUGGUCUGAGAGGAUGACCAGCCACACUGGAAAUGAGACACGGUCCAUACUCCUACGGUAGGCAGCAGUGGGGACUAUUGCACAAUGGGCGCAAGCCUGAUGCAGCCAGGCCGCGUGUAUGAAUAAGGCCUGCGGGUUGUAAAGUACUUUCAGCGGGGAGGCGUUACCCGCAGAAGAAGCACCGGCUAACUCCGUGCCAGCAGCCGCGGUAAUUC
rnacentral:rRNA from 1 species